rnacentral:rRNA from 1 species
CGAACGCAGUAGCAAUACUGAGUGGCAGACGGGUGAGUAUAAUGUGGGAAUCUGCCUUUUGGUUCGGAAUAACUCGGGGAAACUUGAGCUAAUACUGGAUAAGCCCUUACGGGGAAAGAUUUAUCGCCAAAAGAUGAGCCCGCACUUGAUUAGCUAGUUGGUGAGGUAAUUGCUCACCAAGGCAACAAUCAAUAGCUGUUCUUAGAGGAAGACCAGCCACAUUGGGACUGAGACACGGCCCAGACUCCUACGGGAGGCAGCAGUGGGGAAUCUUGCACAAUGGGGGAAACCCUGAUGCAGCGAUGCCGCGUGAGUGAAGAAGGCCUUUGGGUUGUAAAACUCUUUCGUCGGGGAAGAAAAUGACUGUACCCGAAUAAGAAGGUCCGGCUAACUUCGUGCCAGCAGCCGCGGUAAUACGAAGGGACCUAGCGUAGUUCGGAAUUACUGGGCUUAAAGAGCUCGUAGGUGGUUAAAAAAGUUGGUGGUGAAAUCCCAAGGCUUAACCUUGGAACUGCCAUCAAAACUUUUUAGCUUGAGUGUGAUAGAGGAAAGUGGAAUUUCUAGUGUAGAGGUGAAAUUCGUAGAUAUUAGAAAGAACACCAAAUGCGAAGGCAACUUUCUGGAUCAUUACUGACACUGAGGAGCGAAAGCAUGGGUAGCGAAGAGGAUUAGAUACCCUCGUAGUCCAUGCUGUAAACGAUGUGUGCUAGACGUUGGAAAUUUUAUUUUCAGUGUCGCAGCAAAAGCGUUAAGCACACCGCCUGGGGAGUACGACCGCAAGGUUAAAACUCAAAUGAAUUGACGGGGACCCGCACAAGCAGUGGAGCAUGUGGUUUAAUUCGAAGAUACGCGCAGAACCUUACCAACUCUUGACAUGUCCGUCGCGACUCGUAGAGAUAUGAGUCUUCGGUUCGGCCGGACGGAACACAG